rnacentral:lncRNA from 1 species
AAAAAAUUCAGCAACCUUGUCCUCUUAGUGGAAGGAAGGAAAUUGUUGAUUAAUGAGAUGGAAUGAUUCCCAGGUAGCUUCCAUAGGAGAUAACCCUUUCCACUUAAUUAGCACUUCCAAGUUUUCUGUUAUUCCCCAUGUCUCAUUCCUCUUCCCCAACAUAGCUUCGGGUUCCACUAGCAACUCCCAAAUUCAGAGGUAACUAUGUGGUAAAGUGAUGUUCCCUCACCGCCUUACGCAAUUGGGAUACAUGGAACACCGAAUGGAUUCGUGUCUCGGGGUAAGCAACCUUCCCAACUUUUGCUAAUACCUUGUAGGGUCCAUAGUAUCGGGGGUAAGUUUCUCACUGGUACAACCAAAGACUUGUGGCGAUAUGGACGCAUCUUCAACUAGAUCAUGUCCCCUGCUGAGAACUCUACUUCCCUUCUAUGCUUGUCAACUGCAUGCUUCAUCUGUUGUUGGGCUCGGUACAAAUGGAUCUUGAGAACGCAGCAGGAGAGGAGGAUCACGCCCAUAUAACAUACAAAAAGGGGUAAGUUGUGCCAAUACGUGGAAGGAAUUGUUGUAUGAGAGUUCAGCCCAAGGUAGGAAUCGGGCCCAUUCUUUUGGUCGAGCUGAAGCAAAGCAGCGCAGGUAGGUUUCAAGCCCUCAAUUAACCACCUCCGUUUGGCCAUCGGUUUGUGGAUGAUAAGCUGAACUAUGCCUUAACUUCGUUCGCUGGAGUCGAGACGGGUCAAUCCAAAAUUUGCUUAGGAACACCUUAUCCCUAUCUGAGAUUAUUGAUUGGGGCAUCCCGUGCAAUCGAACCGCCUCUCUUACAAAAAUGGCUGCUAUAAAAGGAGCCGUGAAAGGAUGUCUGAGGCCUAUAAAAUGAGUAUACUUGCUUAAGCAAUCAACAACCACCAGAAUCGAAUCAAACCCUUCCGACUUAGGCAACCUUUCUAUGAAAUCCAUGGAAAUAUCCUCCCCUACCCUCUCUGGUACGGGAAGUGGCUGCAGGUGCAAGAGUAAAGUAUUUAUGCUAUUGACAAGUUGCGCAGGCCGCCACAUAUGCGCGAAUAUCUCUCUUCAUGCCCACACAAUGGAAUGUCU